ACAAUUCUCGUAUCACAUUCACAUACAUAUAUACAGAUGCAUGUGUGCUUAUCUCUAUUUAUAGUGGCCAGUUUUCGCGGCGACGUCGCGACCUGUAUAAAAUAGUGUGCACUUCCAAGAAGGCAGUCAGUUCUCAGUGAAAACCGUUAACGGCAACAUGGCUCAAUCUUACUGGAUCUUUCCAAAAGUUGCAAGUAGAAAUAUUCCUUUGGAACUGAAGCGAAGCUGAAGCAUUCCAAACGCAUUUUGGACACACUCUACAACUGUGAAGGACGUCCCCAGGACUUGGCAUGGUGGAUGGAGCUUUAAGGCGCUUUAAGCGCAUUCCUUUACGUUUUGGAUACUCAGUUGAAGACACCAAACGACAGAACCGGGCAUGAUAACAGUGCAAUCUCUUUGCUAAGGACACUGGAAAUUCUGAUGGACAGUGUGACGGCAAAGGCUUUUCAUGUGCAAUAUACCCUAUAAUUUUUAGUUUUUAAGUUCUUGUAAUUUGUUAAAGAUAUUUGUAAAUAUGAAUUAGAGAAUUUAAAGUGUUAACUAAUUACAUAAAAUAUUUUUCAUUUCUAUAUUACUAGUUCAAAAAACAACAAGAUUAUUUACGUCUUCCAUUCAAUGUUAUAAUAACAUUCAUAUUUUGAUAUGUGUAUGUAGUUAAUUAUGUAAAUGUAAAUAAAUUAAUCAUAAGAAAA